GUGUCAGCCGCCGCGGUAAUACGUAGGGGGCAAGCGUUGUCCGGAUUUAUUGGGCGUAAAGAGCGUGUAGGCGGCCAGACAGGUCCGUUGUGAAAACUCGAGGCUCAACCUCGAGACGUCGAUGGAAACCGUCUGGCUAGAGUCCGGAAGAGGAGAGUGGAAUUCCUGGUGUAGCGGUGAAAUGCGCAGAUAUCAGGAAGAACACCCGUGGCGAAGGCGGCUCUCUGGGACGGUACUGACGCUGAGACGCGAAAGCGUGGGGAGCGAACAGGAUUAGAUACCCUCGUAGUCC
rnacentral:rRNA from 1 species